GAUGAACGCUGGCGGCGUGCUUAAUACAUGCAAGUCGAGCGAACAGAUGAUGAGCUUGCUGCUUUCACGUUAGCCGCGCACGGGUGUGUAACAUGUGGAUAACCUACUUAUAUGACUGGGAUAACCUGGGGACACGGGAGCUUAUACCGGAGAAUAUAUUGCACCGCAUUGUUCGAUAGUAAGAGUCGGCUUUUCUGUCUCUAAUCGCUGGAUCCGCGCCGCAUUAGCUAGUUGGUAAGGUAACGGCUUACCAAGGCAACGAUGCGUAGCCGACCUGAGAGGGUGAUCGGCCACACUGGAACUGAGACACGGUCCAGACUCCUACGGGAGGCAGCAGUAGGGAAUCUUCCGCAAUGGGCGAAAGCCUGACGGAGCAACGCCGCGUGAGUGAUGAAGGUCUUCGGAUCGUAAAACUCUGUUAUUAGGGAAGAACAAAUGUGUAAGUAACUAUGCACGUCUUGACGGUACCUAAUCAGAAAGCCACGGCUAACUACGUG
rnacentral:rRNA from 1 species